rnacentral:rRNA from 1 species
CAGUAGCCACGGGAAUGCGUAGGUGGCAAGCGUUGUCCGGAAUUAUUGGGCGUAAAGGGCCCGCAGGCGGUUUCUUAAGUCUGAUGUGAAAGCCCCCGGCUCAACCGGGGAGGGUCAUUGGAAACUGGGAAACUUGAGUGCAGAAGAGGAGAGUGGAAUUCCACGUGUAGCGGUGAAAUGCGUAGAGAUGUGGAGGAACACCAGUGGCGAAGGCGACUCUCUGGUCUGUAACUGACGCUGAGGAGCGAAAGCGUGGGGAGCGAACAGGAUUAGAUACCCCCGUAGUCCCUGUCUCUUAUAC